rnacentral:lncRNA from 1 species
CUCCAAUUACAUUGAAUCAGCGAUAUAGACUUCUGACUGGCUCAUCACGCACCAGUUCCCCACUUGGAAAUUGGGAUGGCACGGUCGCACGAAACUUUGCGGAUCUUGUGGAGCCUUCUCUCCUAUUGCCGCCACCUUUUCCUCGAACAUUAUCCCGACACUUGUGAAACACUGGCUAACAUGACCGAGCCAUGCCCUAUCUGCCCGAAGUCUUGAUGGUGCAUUCCUUCUU